rnacentral:sRNA from 1 species
GCCGACCCUCAGUAGGAGC